CUCUAGUAGGCCUAGCUAAGGCAAGAAAUAAAAUGGGCCGGUGUGGUUGAUUCUGAUUACUACUCCUUCCUGCCCUCACUCCUAGUCAGCUUCUUUAUUUUCAGGUGACAUUCAUCACCCGCCUCUACACCUGGGAGCCUCUGCUGGGGCUAGUUUAGAAGUGUGGUGGGAGAAGAGGAGGUCUUUUUUGAAACUCUGGUUGCACUGCAGACAGACAAGCCUCCAUUUAUUUUCCAGUGGAACACCAUAUUGUUUCCUCUCACUCUCUUCCAGCGAGAACUGUCUAGGAAAGGACGAGGACCAAAUUACCAAGCCUUUGGAUCUAAUCCAUGUGGCAUCCCAUCUGUGGGCCCCUGGGAGAUUCAAAGUCGGCCGGUGCUGGAGGCCAAUCAUAUUUAUACCAUUUCCAUAUGGCACCUUUUGAUUGAGACUUGGCAAGCACUCAGACUGGAGGAAGACAGAGAGCAAGACACUGGAACAAGCAGCAGGAGUGGAGCCUGGGACGCAAGGUCAGCACAUAGCAAGCCCUUGCUUUGGAGCAGAGGCGGCCGGUUUCCAGGGCAGUGAGUAUUUGAAGCAGUAGUUGUGACCUUCAGCUUCACUGGGGCAAGCAUCACCUGUAAGCAACCAGGCAUUGGGUGUGAUUAAUGAAUAUGUUUCUUUAGCAUAUGGGGUGAGGGAGGGACAGGGGCUAAUUUGAGCAGUCAGGGACAAGGAGUCAACAUCAGUGUGGAGUGGUAAUGUUUGUACACCAAGCUGGUAGAUAGACAUCCUAGUUACAUAUGAUUCUGUUGGUGUUGCCUAUAGAGGAGAAAAAAGUGAUCAAGUGGUUGUGGAUUUUAUGUUUGCUUAUCUGUUUUUUUAAAAAAGGCUAAUAAUGAAUUUUAUCAAGAUGUUGGAUUCCUGCAUGUUAGACAUUGUAGUGGGUUGAAUUUUGAUCCCCAAAAAGAUAUGUCCUAAGUCUUAACCUCACAGUAGCUGUGAAUGUGACCUUAUAUAGAGCCUUUGCAGAUGUGUUAAGUUAAGCAUCUCCAGAUGAGCUCAUUCUGGAUU
rnacentral:lncRNA from 1 species